GUGCCAGCAGCCGCGGUAAUUCCAGCUCCAAUAGCGUAUACUAAAGUUGUUGCGAUUAAAAAGCUCGUAGUUGGAUCUCAGGCAUGGGCGCACGGUCCGCCUCGCGGCGGUCACUGUGUGUAUGUUUCCCAUCCUACGCUUCCCGGUUGUUAGCCCAUGGUGCUCUUCAUUGAGCGUUUUGGGUGGCCGGAACGUUUACUUUGAAGAAAUUAGAGUGUUCAAAGCAGGCACGUCGCCUGAAUAAUGGUGCAUGGAAUAAUGGAAUAGGACCUCGGUUCUAUUUUGCUGGUUUUCGGAACACGAGGUAAUGAUUAAGAGGGACAGACGGGGGCAUCCGUAUUGCGGUGUUAGAGGUGAAAUUCUUGGAUCAUCGCAAGACGAACUACUGCGAAAGCAUUUGCCAAGAAU
rnacentral:rRNA from 1 species